CAAAAGGAAAAUUGAAGACCCGGCUACCGUCUGGGCCACAAGAAAAAUACGCAUCAAAAACGAUUUCAAACCACGUCCGUAGCAACAUCUUCCUGUUACACCAACGGACUUGUACCCCGGCAGCAGCAUCACCAGAACACCAGAUAUAAUCCUUGGCAGGAUUAUAUCCAUAAUCCCGAUCCUUGCUUAAUCAUUCCGGGAGGGC